UGAUUGAAAAGCUUUAACGCACACAAAUCACAAUACCCGCCAUUAUACACACACACCCACAAUGCAUUAGCAUGUCAUGUUCAAAGAAUAUCCACGUUUCGAAAACUACCAGCGAUAUUGGCUAGCGUGAGAGACGACGUCAUGUCAUGAUGUGACGUCAUGAUUCCUCGGGGCCCGCGAGACGCUUCUGUUUUCCAGCGCGAGAAAUAAGGCGCUACUGCGCAUGCGCGGCUACGAUGACGUAGAACUUCCGCGCUUGCUACUUGCGCUGCUCGUACACUUUCUGGCGGCCCAUUUUUGGUUGGACUCACGUGAGACGUAGCUCGUAGCUGAUUACAGUUGUUACCGUCGACCAUGCGCAGCAGCAACAGUAAUGUUUUUUCUGGGGACGAGGUGAUGCAAAACUACGAUCUAAUGGACGAGUUCUUGGUUUUCCAUCCACCCCGUACCCAAGAACAAUUUCCUUCAUGUCCCACACCGGAACCGUUGUGGGACAAGGAGUCUACAUUGAAAUUAAUUGAAUUCUAUAGAAUUCAUCAUGAACGGCUCGGUAAGAGCCGUGAUCUGAAGAGGAAGCAGCAGUUAUGGGACGCGAUGUCCACGUAUAUCACGAAAGCGCUGGGAAAGACGUUCUCGCCGCGCAAUGCGAAAACAAAUGGCGAUAUUUGCUACGUUCUUAUAAGGGCGUAGUGGACAAUAACAAAAAGUCCGGGUAAGAGGUCGGAAAGAUUUCGUGUAUAUGAAGGAAAUGGACGAAAUCUUCGAAAAAAAGACCAACAUUUACCCGGAGAUUUUGCUUGAUGGUGCAAACGUUGUGGCGGAGGCAGCGACCACCGACCAACCAAGCGACCAGGCUGUUCCAGGUCCAUCGGGAUACUCGACGAAGUGUCUUCUUUCCUGUACUAAAUUAUUUUCAUCGCUGGGUAAGUGCUAACAUUACUAUGAUGUAAUACUUCUCUAUGCCAUACUUAUGCAUGAGCAUUUUAGCAAUUUUGGUGCAUGAGCAUGUAAGCAGUUUUUGUGCAUGUUAAUAUUUAAGGACUCUGCAAGUGCAUCCACCCCUCCUCACAAGAAGCUUAAACUGAAGAGUCGCACAGUAAGAGAUUUCCAAGAAGAGAGGAGCAAUUAUUUACAGGAGAGGCUUGAGAUGGAGCGGGAAAGACAGGGACAAGAGGGAGAAAGAGAGGCUCCAGUUGAAACGGGAAAGCUUGGAACUGAAACGUGAAUGGAUGGAAGUUAAUCGUUCUUUGCUGAAUGCAACGUUGGAGCAUAAUAUGCUCCUCGGGAAGUAUUUUGAGGCUCGGAUAAGUUCUCUUACAAAAUUUCAUUUUUAAAUCUUUUCUUUACAUUGUGCCCUUUCAAUUUUUAUAAUUUAUGUAUCACAAAUAUUGCUAAUUAUAUCUUGAACUCUCUGCUAGAUACCUAAACUUUAAAUAGUGGUUUGUUAGUGAUAAGUGUUGGAAUUUGAUUGGUAUUUACCACUUGCUCUAUUGCUGAUAAAAUGCAUGGCAGAGGGUGUGUGCCAUUUAUUAGAUUUUCCCAUUAUGUUCAUGUAGAAGUGCCUCUGUGUGAGCUGUAUUUGGUCUAAUCUAGUCUCGAUCCCUACAGGAGUUAUAUGUAGAAGACUAGUACAGUUAUUUAAAGCUGUUUCUUAAAUCUUUGUGAGUAGGCUUUCUUGGGACACUGUGACUGUUAGUCUACCAGUUCAUUUAAAGCGUCUGUGACACUUUCAUGAAUCCACCAUGUGACCAUUUGUUCAGUCUGUAUAUUCAAUAUACCUCUUUGUUUGGUUAUGAGUCUCUCACACUUAAGCAAUAGUCUAGGGAUGGUGGCAAAAGUGAUUUAUAAGCAAUCUUCUUUGUAGACUGAUUGCAUUUCCCUUGUAUUCUACAAAUAAACCAAAAUCUGAUUUUUUAAAAUGUCUGUCCCCAAAUAGAUACUUCGGUCAGUUCGGGACUGUGUGACAAGUCAUUCUUUCAUUGCUCUAUUUUUCCUCCAGUAUUGUCUCAUCGUGUCUUCCCUUCAGAACAGCUCACACUGAUCAAUGCUUCUGCGUUUGGAAUCCUAAAUCUGAAACCUUACAGGGGGUGGGGGGAGAGCUACUUUCAUUUAUAAUUAACUGCUAAGAUAUUGCUUGUUCAUUUGUUCCCACAUAUCUGGAGAUAAAUUUCUUAGGCUGUUUUCAUUUGUCCUGUUUAACUCCAAAAAAAAAAAAAAAAAAAAAAAAAAAAAAAAAAAAAAAAAAAAAAAAAAAAAAAAAAAAAAAAUUCAUUUACUCAUUUUUUUAUAUUGUCAUUUGUUUUAAUGCUUUGCAUGUUAUUGGCCCUAAGAAAUUUUAGUCACGCAGUUUCUUCAUAGUUUUGUUAGAUUACAAUUAACUGCUAGGCAUUAAUUUAUAGGUCAUUCAUAGUGAAGCACAGUUGUUUUAACCCUUGUAAAAUUAACUUUGCAUUCAUUCUGUUCUAUUUUGUGUAUAAAUUUGAUAUUUUUCUAAUUAAUUUAUUGAAAUAUCUUCAGAGUUAAUUGAACUUUCACCUAUUUGACCAUCAUUAAGUUUUCGAUGUAAAUUAGCUUUUAUUUUCAGAGGUUGUUCUGUGGGAUUCAGUGGUUACUGAUCAGAGAUUUCUAAAUAUAGUACAGCAGAAUUAGGUGCAAAUGCGAGGUAAUUUAAAGUUCAUUAUCUUCCCAUCCAGAUAAUCCAUGAGACUGAUUUACAGCUCCAUGACUAAUAUGCAAAUCCCAAACAAGUGCCUGGCAGCUAGUUCAUUGAACCACUUCCUCUCCUGUUCCACUCGAAGCAAGUGGGGAAAAAUUAACUUCAGUCAAUUUGUGUGUGUUCGGAUUUAUCGUUUUCAUUUCUGUGUUGUUGCACAUAUUUUCACAUUUACAGGAGAAAGCUGUCAUUUCAUGACAUCCUCAUACCACAAAGUACCUUUAAUUGUUGCCACGCAAACUUGCAUAUGACACACCUCUAUUUUGUAAUAAAAAAUGAGCUGCCUUUAAACCUUUUUGGGGUCUUCAGUCAUAAGAAUCCCAUACUGUGAAGCAGUUCUGUGGCAGAGGAUGGACAAUUGUACUGUAAGCAACCUCUUUUGUGGUGCUGUUAAAUCUUCAGUGUCCUGCCAAUCGGAUACAGUCUCUCGUUUGCCUCCCCAACAUUUUCUCUGUGAUCAUUAGCUACAAUGUUAGGAAGAGUGCCUGGGACUCACAGUUUGGUCAUCUUUCCAUAUGUUUAUUAUUAAGUACCUAGGACAUGUCACCCAUAAACUAACUUACAUGACUAAUUACACUGUUAUGGAUUUAAAUUUACUCACACCAAAAUUAGUUGAUGCAGUAGUUGUUUGAGUUUAUUAUAAAUGAUUUUACGAACCACGUAUGCCGUAUUGUGUUAAUCAUUUCUUCAAAUUGCAUGCUUUGUCCUGUUUCCUUACUAAAGUCCUUAUGAGCUCAACAUCUUGUCAUGCAAAUGAUAGGGUGUUGGCUCAUUGUUUUUACAGGUUGAAGCUGAGGGCAUCAGAUGUCGCGUCUGUGAAGAGCAACGGAGGAGUAGUGAUUAUAAACUGUAAUUUUGAACUGUGCAUUUGGUGAUUAUAGUUUCAGUGUAAUUGUGACUUGUCUUUGUGUUUGUAGUUAAAUUGUAAUUGGGAACUGUGCAUUUGAGUA